AAAAAAAAAAAACGCUCUGAUGAUGCUGUUUAUCUGUGUGUGUCGGGACUGGAGGUUUAUUACAGUGAACUGCAUUUUCCACCUUGAAAAAAUGUAACCGUGAUAUAAGUAACAUUUGUGUAAAACUCUUUGCACCAGGCUAUAUUCGUGUUUAAAAUCUAUAAAUUAUACCUUGGCUCUAAGUUAUCAGAUAUUAAAUAGACUUUGUUUCAACAAUGAUAUGUUUCAUUCACAAAUGUCACCACGGUUCAACUGUUUAUGCCCCUCGCGGGAUUUUUUUCCCCCUAUGACAAUUAUCAGUCCUUAUUUAUUAUAUAUAUGUUUUCUGUGACAGGCACGACUCCCGCAAUAAGUCAUUCAACUCAACUAGAGCAGUAGCACAUCUUAAAUAAGAAAAUACAAAUCUAAACACAAUAAAAGAGAAAAGCAGAACGGAAGGAGGUAGAUUUUCUUCAUCUGUGGUUUGCUUAUUUUUCAGGUUUUUCACGGCUGCGUCUUCCCUCUACAACAAACAGCAAAUGAGUUGGUCAGCUGCCUGAUCAAGCCCACUGCAGCAUUUCAGCUCAAGCCAAGCAGGAGCUCUUCAAAUAAGACCCUCCACAUGGGCCACAUCUGACAGACCACAAGCAUCUACAGACAAGGGAGAACAACAGCGAGACAAACAACAAGCAGGAGAAGAAGUGAUCAAGACCAGUGGUUCAACCAGGCAUCGAAAGCAUCGCCAGCAAAAUUCAAAACUGUUUCAUUUCACGAACCAGGUUAGCACAGAGUGACUACAGUACACAGCAGCAUAGGAAGGAAAACAAAGUUAGCGUGUAAUGUAGUAUUUCGUUAAAAAUGGAUGCAGCCUGAUCAUCACAAGGGAAAAAAAGCCCACCAGGAACAAAAAUCUGUUAUAUGUUCAGAAAAAUCAUUUGAUUUCAUCGAUCAAAUUGUUUUGUUUCUGAAAGUUAUCGUUUUUUACUUGAUACUACUUACUACACCUCUGAUCGAAACUUUAAAGGAAUGGGCAGGACUGCAGACUACUGACCAUUUGUGGCUGGGUUCAGAUAGUUUACCAUUAUUUGAGAUCAGACAUGAAUCUGGGCGAGAUAGUAACAGAACAGUAAAUGGGUAUAUACACUAUUAAAUGUCCUAUGUGCAGUAUUUGACAAUAAAUAUAUCGGUCACAGUAGCGUCAUAAUGUAAGAGAGAAACAAACCUCUAAAUUUUUAUUUAGGGUCCCUGCUGUGGUGAAAACACAACAGCAUGAAGACAAAAAUCUACAUACAGUUAACCUGUCAUUGAGAUACACUGAUAUCCUAUCAAUCUAUUGCCAUCAGGGAUCAGAGAUGGUGCUAUUGGUCCAAUCAAAUGGAAAAAAAACGAUGUUCAGAACGUAGUGAUGAGGAAACAAUACAGAUGUAUCAAUAGCAUGGUCAGAGCAUCAACUGCUUUACUGUGUAUGACCUCUUAUAUACUGUAUGUUUAUCUACACACUGUGGACCCCUCUGUUUGUACUAUAACGCUGCAGGCCGGAUGGCAGCAGGGGUUAAAGAACGGUUAAUGUGUCCCAGUUUAAAGACACGUGUUCAGAUGUGCUCAUGGGGACUGAAAUAGACCUACAUAAGAGACCUUUUUUAUUUUUUACUCUGCUGCUACUUGUCCUUUGAAUCCAGCCAUCAAACAUUCUGACUGUAUUAAAAGGUUGUGAAAUAGGAAACUGCUAAGAAAUCUAUUGCCAGUAUUGAUUUUCAUAAAGAUGUGACAAUUUAAAUAUACAGCGUAAAUAUUUAUACAUUUAUCAAUAGAAUUAGAUUAAAACAUUUAAAAAAUUGACUAAUUAUUUUAGUUCACUAUUUGAAAAAUAAAUAAAUAAAUGCAAAAUUUAAAGCUGAGAAAUUACAGGUUUAUUUAGUUGUUUUCUCUUUGGGGCUUAAAAUAAAAAUAGAAACUUGUCAAACUACCAUUCUAUUAGAUAAAAUCCUUUGUGGGUUCACAAAAAAAUGUGUCAGCAAUGGAAUAAAAUAUCAGAUGGUGUCAAAACUUAGAUGCCAAACCCUAUUUUCAUUUACAUACUGUAUUAAGUGUUUUAUAUUUUUUGGGCUGCAGGUAAAUACCUGCAGUUUGUAAACCCACCUGACCUCACUCACAGCAUUUUAAAUUUUAUAAUAAAAAUACUUUGUUAAAGUUCUCCUUUUACAAACUAUAUGAGAUCAUAUAAGUUCAGUGAAGAUUAUAGUUCAUAUACA